rnacentral:lncRNA from 1 species
GUUGGAGCGUGCCCUAGCCUCCACCGUUCUUCUCAAAACCGCCUCUUCUCUCCGCCAAAAUCCCUCUCCAUUCUUUUGUAACCCUUCUUCCACUCAUCCACUUGAUUCUCCAAGUCUCUCUGCCUGCUGCUGUGGUGAGAAUGGCUCUGAAGAUGAAGCUCCCUCAGAGAAGAAAGUCGGUCCAUGAGCUAGAAGAAAAUAUCCGCAGAAAAAGACAAGCUGCUCAGUCCUCCACUGCUCCCACUCCAGCUUCUGUGUCAGCUCAAGGUCCCUCUCAAUCUUCCCUUAGCCCCAGUA